rnacentral:rRNA from 1 species
GACGAACGCUGGCGGCGUGCUUAACACAUGCAAGUCGAACGGAAAGGCCCUGCUUUUGUGGGGUGCUCGAGUGGCGAACGGGUGAGUAACACGUGAGUAACCUGCCCUUGACUUUGGGAUAACUUCAGGAAACUGGGGCUAAUACCGGAUAGGAGCUCCUGCUGCAUGGUGGGGGUUGGAAAGUUUCGGCGGUUGGGGAUGGACUCGCGGCUUAUCAGCUUGUUGGUGGGGUAGUGGCUUACCAAGGCUUUGACGGGUAGCCGGCCUGAGAGGGUGACCGGCCACUUGGGGACUGAGAUACGGCCCAGACUCCUACGGGAGGCAGCAGUGGGGAAUAUUGCACAAUGGGCGGAAGCCUGAUGCAGCAACGCCGCGUGCGGGAUGACGGCCUUCGGGUUGUAAACCGCUUUCGCCUGUGACGAAGCGUGAGUGACGGUAAUGGGUAAAGAAGCACCGGCUAACUACGUG